AGGAUUCCCUCAGUAAUGGCGAAUGAAGCGGGAAGAGCUCAAAUUUGAAAUCUCCGUCGGCUUCGACGGCGAAUUGUGGUUACGAGAAGUACUUUCCCGGCGGACGGGCGUUGCCUAAGUUGCCUGGAACGGCACGUCGCAGAGGGUGACAACCCCGUACGUGGCAGCGCCUUUCGCUCUCGAUGUACUUUCGAAGAGUCGGGUUGUUUGGGAAUUCAGCCCAAAAGGGGUGGUAAACUCCAUCUAAAGCUAAAUAACGGCGCGAGACCGAUAGCGAACAAGUACCGUGAGGGAAAGAUGAAAAGGACUUUGAAAAGAGAGUUAAACAGUGCGUGAAACCGUUGAGAGGGAAGCGAAUGGAGUUAGCAAUUCGCUUGCCAGAUUCAGUUUCCAGCUUGCCGCGACGUUCGCGUUCUCGAUCUUCGUAGACGAGUCGCGACCGCGCACGGCACGCCGGGGACGCACUUCUGGCGGGCGAUCGUCACCGUCGGUUUCGGACGAACUAAGGGAUUGCAAGGAAGGUAAACCGGUCGUUGGCCGUUUGUUAAGCCUUGCUUUCGUCCUGUCCGUCGGAGACCGGGGAAAGCGGCGCGCGCCUAUAAAUACGGGCUGGUGUCCCGUCUUGCUGUUCGGUUGUCGACUGUGGCGGACGGCGCGCCUGUGCGCUCGAACCGCAGCCGGACAGCAUUUCGGUGAUCAAACACUCCGCGCCUACGACGUUGACGAUCAUACGGCUCUAUCCGACCCGUCUUGAAACACGGACCAAGGAGUCUGACAUGUACGCAAGUCUCUGGGUGAUCGAAACCCGUGGGCGAAAUGAAAGUGAAGGCAGUCUCGGCUGUCGAGGUGAGAAGCGCUCUCUUUGCGAGCGCCGCAUCAUCGACCGACCUAUUCUACUCUUAGGAAGGUUUGAGUAAGAGCGUAGCUGUUGGGACCCGAAAGAUGGUGAACUAUGCCUGAAUAGGGUGAAGCCAGCGGAAACACUGGUGGA
rnacentral:rRNA from 1 species